rnacentral:rRNA from 1 species
AUGAGAAGGCGAAAGUGGGCAGGCAAUCCUAGAUGCUCGUUUUGCAAUGAUGUGGAAACCUCGCAACACCUUUUCUUUACCUGUCCUGUUGCUCGGGUGGUCUGGAGGACGGUGGGGUGUGUUUUGGGCACAUCGCUAUGUCCAAACAACAUUUGGCAGUACUUUUCCUGGUGUUACAUAUUCCUUCCUGAUGGAGCAAAGUUUUAUACCUUUGGUUUGGCAGCUAUCUGUUGGGCAAUUUGGAACAGUCGCAAUCAGGCUACCUUUGAGCACAAAGUUCUUAAAAGUCCAUUUAAUGUGGUAUAUGCUGCUUCUGGUUUUUGGACAUACUGGGCAUGUUUGAUGGCUGGUGAGGAGCGGGAGUCCAUGGAGCGCGGAGCCAAGAUGCUCAGGUCAAAUUCUUCGACGAUGAUGAGGAUCUGUGCGGCUCCAUCAACGACGAACUGA